GACGAACGCUGGCGGCGUGCCUAAUACAUGCAAGUCGAACGCUUUUUCUUUCACCGGAGCUUGCUCCACCGAAAGAAAAAGAGUGGCGAACGGGUGAGUAACACGUGGGUAACCUGCCCAUCAGAAGGGGAUAACACUUGGAAACAGGUGCUAAUACCGUAUAACACUAUUUUCCGCAUGGAAGAAAGUUGAAAGGCGCUUUUGCGUCACUGAUGGAUGGACCCGGGGUGCAUUAGCUAGUUGGUGAGGUAACGGCUCACCAAGGCAACGAUGCAUAGCCGAGCUGAGAGGGUGAUCGGCCACACUGGGACUGAGACACGGCCCAGACUCCUACGGGAGGCAGCAGUAGGGAAUCUUCGGCAAUGGACGAAAGUCUGACCGAGCAACGCCGCGUGAGUGAAGAAGGUUUUCGGAUCGUAAAACUCUGUUGUUAGAGAAGAACAAGGAUGAGAGUAAAAUGUUCAUCCCUUGUCGGUAUCUAACCGGAAAGCCACGGCUAACUACGUGCCAGCCGCCGCGGUAA
rnacentral:rRNA from 1 species